GUCACACGAUCGUUAGUGAAAUCAUAUUGCCGCCCGAUUUCCGCCAAGCCGCGGCCCUGCUGGGCUGCGAGAGAUGAUACUUGCGUUGGCCCGGUCUUGUCGGCGUCGGAUUCCUCAGCCCCCAGCCCCCCGGGGUCUUCAGGAUCGGGCCUGUUCGCAACAAUCAAUCCCCACACUGAGGGCCAACGCGAGUUGGUCCUUUU
rnacentral:sRNA from 19 species